UCCACCUCCCAGAGCCUCCUGCUGGAUGGGGUGAAGGCAGGGCCUCCUUUUACCACUAUCCCCUCCGUCCUAUGUUUCUCCACGGAGCAAGACGUGGCUCUCACUUCCUCUUUACAAUUCCUGCCCACGACGUGCAUUUCUUGGGUCAGAAAAGGAAACAGAACCAGCCUCCGAGAGCGCACUCUUUCUCCGGUUCCUGGACUGCAUUCUAUCUGACUUCCUGUAAGACGGAUCUGUUGUGUCCGCCCGCCUAGCUCCUUUUUCCGACUUUCUUAAGAGAAGCAGCACUCGCGCCUCCUCAUAGAGAUCUGGUUGAUUCUGGUGGGGCUGACUGUCGCGGAGUCCGGACCCCUUCCCCAGGCGAUGACGCAACCUAAGCCUGACCAAUCACAGAGCCCCAUCCCGCCUUGAGACUGAAGGAGGAGGCUGCUGGAAGCCGGCGGAGCAGCUGGGACUUACAGCAGGUUCAGCACCGGGAGGGGAGAGCCAUCUUCUCACUGCUUUGGCGUAACUGAGCUAAAUAAUACGUCCGGAGCUUCUGGUGGCCCUGCUUCCUGUACUCUGUCCUCACUGGGGCGAAGCCAACCCAAGUAUGUUCGGGUUGACUGAAUAAUACAGCAAUUGCUUCCUGCGAAUUAUUGUGAGUAAUAAGUUAUUCAACACGUAUUUAUUGAGCACCUACUAAGUGGCAGAUACUCCCAGGGAAUACAAUAAUGAAGAAAACAACCAACCAGCAAUGACUUAGGACUUGCAGAGUCAUUUCCGUGCCAGGAAGUAGGGACACCAUCCAGGCAACUGGCCAGGUCCAGAUCCCAGGAAUCAUUCUCUGACAACAGAGCCCUUUCAGUAGCCCCCUCCUAAAUCCAACCCAAAUCUCCCCACGUCUCACCAUGUCCUUGACUCAGCCAUGGCCCAGGGCAUCAUCACUUCUCUGCUAAAUCACUGCAACAGUUCACCAACCGGGCAUUUGCCUCCAGUGUCACCCCAAAGUCCAUUCAGCCCACAGAAGUCACAGGAGUCCUUCCAAAACCACUGUCAAACCGAACAGAUCUGCUGGGAGCAAACAUGUAGAGGGUUGUAUCUAUGUCAAUAAUAAAAUGAAUGCUCACAGCAGGAGGCAAGUAUGAGUUUGUGAGACUCUCUUUGUGUCUGGAAAGAGUUAGUGCUGGUUUUGUGUUUUCUGACAGUGGAGAAUCAUCAUAAUGAUACAUUCAGUUGUAUCAUU